rnacentral:rRNA from 1 species
UACGAAGGGGGCUAGCGUUGCUCGGAAUCACUAGGCGUAAAGCGCACGUAGGCGGAUUGCUAAGUCAGGGGUGAAAUCCUGGAGCUCAACUCCAGAACUGCCUUUGAUACUGGCGAUCUCGAGUUCGGGAGAGGUGAGUGGAACUGCGAGUGUAGAGGUGAAAUUCGUAGAUAUUCGCAAGAACACCAGUGGCGAAGGCGGCUCACUGGCCCGAUACUGACGCUGAGGUGCGAAAGCGUGGGGAGCAAACAGG